rnacentral:rRNA from 1 species
GAUGAACGCUGGCGGCGUGCUUAACACAUGCAAGUCGAACGAUGAAGCCCAGCUUGCUGGGUGGAUUAGUGGCGAACGGGUGAGUAACACGUGAGUAACCUGCCCUUAACUCUGGGAUAAGCCUGGGAAACUGGGUCUAAUACCGGAUAGGAGCGUCCACCGCAGGGUGGGUGUUGGAAAGAUUUAUCGGUUUUGGAUGGACUCGCGGCUUAUCAUCUUGUUGGUGAGGUAGUGGUUCACCAAGGCGACGACGGAUAGCCGACCUGAGAGGGUGACCGGCCACCAUGGGACUGAGGCAGGGACCAGACUGCUACGGGAGGCAGCAGUGGAGAAUAUUGCACAGUGGGCGCAAGUCUGAGGAAGAGACGCCGCGUGAGGGAUGACGGCCUUCGGGUUGUAAACCUCUUUCAGUAGGGAAGAAGCGAAAGUGACGGUACCUGCAGAAGAAGCACCGGCUAACUACGUG